AAUAAACCAACAAAAUAGACAGCAAAUAACACAACGCACCACAUGACGAAUUUAUUUAUUCUUCUUCAUGUCCUUCCUUGUUUUCUUUUUUCUUCUAUCCAUCUUUUCAUCUUU
rnacentral:ribozyme from 14 species